UUCUGUACAAAGAGAAGAGACACAGAUAGACAGACAGACAGAGAGACAUGAGAUCCCUAUUGGUUUUUUCCAUUCUCCUAGGCAUCUUCCCUGGUAUCUUCUCAAGUCCACAGAUAACUGAGUCUGGUCCAGGACUGCUGAAGCCCGGAGGGUCCUUUAAACUGACUUGCUCUGUCUCUGGUGCUCAAGUCAGUGAUUAUUACUGGAACUGGUGCCGGAAGCCUCCAGGAAAAGGGCUGGAGUGGAUAGGGUUUAUCCGGGCCGAAGCAAAUGGAGGAAGCACUCAGCUCAAUCCGGCACUGAGCAGUCAAACCGGCAUCUCCAGGGACCCCUACAGUAAUGAAGUGUUUCUCCAUCUGAGUUCCCUGACAGCUGCAGACAGUGCAAUGUAUUACUGUGCAAGAGACACAGUGAACCAAAGCAAUGAAGCAUCCAUGCAAAAAUCACACUACAAUUCUGCCAUGUGCACUGGCACUGCUAGCUCUCUGUCUUCAACAGACAUCCAUUGCCCUAAUUCUGGCUGAAAGAUGUACUGGAAAUCUCUCCCUACACAGUUU